AGCGAACGCUGGCGGCAGGCUUAACACAUGCAAGUCGAACGCCCCGCAAGGGGAGUGGCAGACGGGUGAGUAACACGUGGGAACGUACCCUUUGGUUCGGAAUAACUUGGGGAAACUCAAGCUAAUACCGGAUAAGCCCUUAUGGGGAAAGGUUUACUGCCGAAGGAUCGGCCCGCGUCUGAUUAGCUAGUUGGUGAGGUAAUGGCUCACCAAGGCGACGAUCAGUAGCUGGUCUAAGAGGAUGAUCAGCCACACUGGGACUGAGACACGGCCCAGACUCCUACGGGAGGCAGCAGUGGGGAAUAUUGGACAAUGGGGGCAACUCUGAUCCAGCCAUGCCGCGUGAGUGAUGAAGGCCUUAGGGUUGUAAAGCUCUUUUACCCGGGACGAUAAUGACUGUACCGGGAGAAUAAGCCCCGGCUAACUUCGUGCCAGCAGCCGCUGUAA
rnacentral:rRNA from 1 species